AGGACGAACGCUGGCGGCGUGCCUAACACAUGCAAGUCGAGCGGGGUCCAUCCGGUAGCAAUACUGGGGAAGACCUAGCGGCGAACGGGUGAGUAACACGUGAGAAACCUGCCCCGAAGUCUGGGAUAACCCGAGGAAACUCGAGCUAAUACCGGAUGCCUUCUUCUGAUCGCAUGGUCGGAUGAAGAAAGAUUUAUCGCUUCGGGAGGGUCUCGCGGCCUAUCAGCUAGUUGGCGGGGUAACGGGCCCACCAAGGCGUCGACGGGUAGCUGGUCUGAGAGGACGAUCGGCCACACUGGGACUGAGACACGGCCCAGACUCCUACGGGAGGCAGCAGUGGGGAAUAUUGCGCAAUGGGCGAAAGCCUGACGCAGCAACGCCGCGUGCGGGAUGAAGGCCUUCGGGUUGUAAACCGCUUUCAGUGGGGACGAAUUCAGACGGUACCCACAGAAGAAGCCCCGGCCAACUACGUG
rnacentral:rRNA from 1 species